rnacentral:rRNA from 1 species
AGCUCCAAUAGCGUAUAUUAAAGUUGUUGCAGUUAAAAAGCUCGUAGUUGAAUUUCUGGUGGGAGCGAUCGGUCCAUCCUUCACUGGUUGGAACCUGAUUGUCUCCCGCCAUCCAUGGAGAGAACUUAUCUGGCAUCAAAGCAGGCUUAUGCCGUUGAAUAUAUUAGCAUGGAAUAAUAAGAUAUGACUAUGGUACUAUUUUGUUGGUUUGUGCACCAUGGUUAUGAUUAAUAGGAACAGUUGGGGGUAUUCGUAUUCCAUUGUCAGAGGUGAAAUUCUUGGAUUUAUGGAAGACGAACUACUGCGAAAGCAUUUACUAAGGAUGUUUUCAUUA